CGAAAAUGUUAAAGUUCUUAUUUCAUGGUAUAACUUUGGUAUGCUUGGACCUAGAGUCUUCAAACUUGACAUGAAGGUUGGCCAGGAUUAACAGAUGACCACUGGUCAUUUCAAGGUCAUUCAUUUGAAGGUCAAGGUCACUGUGACCUUCAAUAUAAAAAAUGUUAAAGUUGUUAUAACUUUGGUAUGCUUGGACCUAGAGUCUUGAAACUUGACAUGAAGGUUGGCCAUAACUAGUUAGUAACCACUGGUCAUUUCAAGGUCAUUCAUUUGAAGGUCAAGGUCACUGUGACCUUGAAUGUAAAAAUGUUAAAGUUCAUAUUUCAUGGUAUAACUUUGGUAUGCUUGGACCUAGAGUCUUCAAACUUGACAUGAAGGUUGGCCAGGAUUAACAGAUGACCACUGGUCAUUUCAAGGUCAUUCAUUUGAAGGUGAAGGUCACUGUGACCUUCAAUAUAAAAAUGUUAAAGUUGUUAUAACUUUGGUAUGCUUGGACCUAGAGUCUUGAAACUUGACAUGAAGGUUGGCCAGAACUAGUAAGUAACCACUGGACAUUUCAAGGUCAUUCAUUUGAAGGUCAAGGUCACUGUGACCUUGAAUGUAAAAAUGUUAAAGUUGUUAUAACUUUGGUAUGCUUGGACCUAGAGUCUUGAAACUUGACAUGAAGGUUGGCCAGAACUAGUAAGUAACCACUGGACAUUUCACGGUCAUUCAUUUGAAGGUCAAGGUCACUGUGACCUUGAAUGUAAAAAUGUUAAAGUUCUUAUUUCAUGUUAUAACUUUGGUAUGCUUGUACCUAGAGUCUUCAAACUUGAAAUAAAGAUUGGCCAGUACUAGAAGAUGACCACUGGUCAUUUCACUGUCAUUCAUUUGAAGGUCAAGGUCACUGUGACCUUAAAUGUUAAAAUGUUAAAAUUGUUAUAACUUUGGUAUGCUUGGACAUAGAGUCUUCAAACUUGACAUGAAGGUUUGCAAGCACACUUAGAUGACCACUGGUCAUUUCAAGGUCAUUCAUUCUAAGGUCAAGGUCACUGUGACCUUGAAUGUAAAAAUGUUAAAGUUCUUAUAACUUUGGUAGGUAAAAAUGUUAAAGUUCUUAUUCCAUGUUAUAACUUUGGUAUGCUUGUACCUAGAGUCUUCAAACUUGACAUAAAGGUUGGCCAGUACUAGAAGAUCACCACUGCUCAUUUCAAUGUCAUUCAUUUGAAGGUCAAGGUCACUGUGACCUUCAAUGUUAAAAUGUUAAAAUUGUUAUAACUUUGGUAUGCUUGGACCUAGAAUCUCAAACUUGACGUAAAGGUUUGCAAGCACACUUAGAUGACCACUGGUCAUUUCAAGGUCAUUCAUUUGAAGGUCGAGGUCACUGUGACCUUGGAUGUAAAUAUGUUAAAGUUGUUAAUACUUUGGUAUGCUUAGACCUAGAGUCUUCAAACUUGAUAUGAAGGUUGGCCAGAACUAGUAGAUGACCACUGGUCAUUUUAAGGUCAAGGUCACCGUGACCUUGAAUGUAAAAAUGUUAAAA